GAUGAAGAACGCAGUGAAAUGCGAUAAGUAAUGUGAAUUGCAGAAUCUCGUGAAUCAUCGAAUCUUUGAACGCACAUUGCGCCCUAUGGAAUUCUGUAGGGCAUGCCUGUCUGAGCGUCAGCAGCAAAAAAAUCAAAAUCUUUGUAGGUAAAGAUUUGGAUCUGGUUAAGAGAUGUAAUCUGUAAAGAACCGGUUACUCUUUUGAAAUUUAAAGGCAGUAUUGAUCAAUCCAACUGUAAACGUGAUAAAACAUUUCGUUUUAUUGUUAGGAAUGAGCUUUUUGCUUGCCUAUAAACCCACUCAUCUUCAUGGGUGACCUCAGAUCAGGUAGGGAUACCCGCUGAACUUAAGCAUAUCAAUAAGCGGAGGA
rnacentral:misc_RNA from 1 species